CCCUGGCCCCGUGCGCGCGAGAAACACGCGUACCCUAUCCUUUUUUCUACCUUUCCCUUUUCCCUCUUCCGCCUGUAAUCCCUCUCUAAUCUCUCUCAGAUUAUAGCUUCGAUCUCUAAUCUCUCUCAAAAAAUACGGCUUCUCGAUCUAAUCUCUCUAUACCUCCUCCAACAAACGACGCUUCUCUCCAUCUCUCUCAGAGUGGUGAAGCCAUAGACAAGAGUUGGAUGUCUUCGUGUUCACGGGCUCCGAGCCCGCCAGAAGGCCCAAGAAGCGAGCUAGGAACAUUCAGAAACAGCUUAACUGUGUUUUUCCGGGAUUGUGGUUGGGUUCGAUUACGGUGGAGUCAUUCAAGGUCACCAUUCACCAAUGCUCCUGGGAAGGUCUAAUCAAGGAAGGGUUGAAUAAAACUGAUGCUAAUGUUGUGGUUCUUUGACUGUUUGUUAGAACUUUGAAGGCUUUGAGACUGCGGCCUCUUUUGACAUAAAAGGAAGGUAUAACAAACCAUAAAACUUUGAAGAUGAAUGGAUGACAUUGUAUCCUGUUUUUGCGUAUCUUGCAAGAAAGCUCAAGUGUUGGAAAGAGUUAUAUGGUUUUUAGUGGUUAUAUAAGUAGUCAAAGAUGUUCAUAUGGGUUAAAAUGAUCGAAGUUUGAAUAAAUUUAAUGUUAACAUUAUCUAUAGCUUUGAAUGAGGAUGAUUUAGAGAGCUUUUUGUUAACUUCCUUUUCUUUUUUUUCUUUUUGAAUUCGCAUUUAUUUGAGCUGGGCAGAUUUGUUUGGUGGCCAUUGAUCAAUAUGAUAGAAUUUUCAUGCUUUUAUGAAUAAAGUUCAAUGAAUUUGGUA